GGUAGACCGCCAGGGGAUUAAAGAGCGAGAGAGAGAGAGAGAGAGUCGCCAGCUCCUUCAGUUGACUUCUGCUUUGUCCUAAAUUCAGAGCGUUAUCUGGUUCAGGCUGAAAAACGCUCGCUGCAGCUUGUUUUUCUCAAUGCACAGCGCCUCGACGCCAUGAGCUGCUACUACUGCUGCUGUGCAAUGAAUGAGGCUCUCUCUCUCUUUUUCCACUGCCUUCAAAAGCUUUCUGCCAAACAUGGAGCAGUUGCCAUGGCUGCAGAGAAUGGAACAUAAAAAAGCCUGGCCCCCUGAGCAGCUGGGGAGCAUUGGUUGUCACAUUCAGCCUCCCGCCAUGGUGAAAGAUGGGAGGACAGGAGGUGAGUGCUGUCCUCCUGUCUGUGUGAUAAAGUCCCCUUAACCACAGAGUCUGGGCAUCUGGGCACACGACGCCUCUCCUCCCUCAUCCACUUCAAAGCCUUGUCUCAGAAAACGGCUCGCUGUGAGGAGCCGGAAUGGAAAGUAGAGCUGGAAUGACGAGGACAACCGUGUCUGUGUGAACCCACGGACUAUAAUCACAGUUUAUUACAACUUGAGUUUGCAUAGCUUUGGCCAGUAAUGUAAUCUGAUGUGACAAUAUUGUACUCACGAAAGUAAUUGUUAAAUCUGGAAAAUGGCGACAUUAGAAGAAAGCAGUCACGUAGCCAUCACACAGGAACACUCGUAUGCAAUUUUAGCAAGAAGGAUCAAAGCUGAACCAAGAACUCUCUGUAAAGUGUGAUGGAUGUUUACCGUCGGCAAUCUGGGUAAUCAUUUUCCCUUUUGCCUUUUAUUUCUUCUGUAAUUAAGAUAGGCUAACCUGGGAUUGGUUGAAAACUACAGGGCUGUCACAACUUUUUACAAAUCACAAAUUUGAACUACUUGUCAAAUGUAUAAUCUGUAAUGAUCUGUUAAAAUUCAGAGUAGAAGUGCAUUUCAGGCUGUUGUUGGAUGUGCUAAUGCAAAAUAAAGAAAACUAGCGAGCCGAACUGAACAUACAGUUUAAUCAUGUCAACAAAUCAUCUGAGAAGUAAUGUGAGGGAAUUUGGAUUCAACACUAGAUAGAUAAAUUAUGGAUUGAUGUGAAGCUGUUUGCUGACUUUGUAAUAUGUUAUAUGUUACAGUAAUGUCAGCUUGUCACUCAAGUGAGACGAGAUCAGUGUCGGGGGGUUAAUGCGUUAGAGUACUCACGUUAAUUUUUUGUAAUGAGUAAUUUAACAUGUUAGUUAUUCAUGUAAUGAGUUAUUUAGUUGUUUUCAAGUAAACAAUCCAUAUUUCUUUUGUUGCAACAAAA